GAUGAACGCUGGCGGCGUGCCUAAUACAUGCAAGUCGAGCGAACAGACGAGGAGCUUGCUCCUCUGACGUUAGCGGCGGACGGGUGAGUAACACGUGGAUAACCUACCUAUAAUACUGGGAUAACUUCGGGAAACCGGAGCUAAUACCGGAUAAUAUAUUGAACCGCAUGGUUCAAUAGUGAAAGACGGUUUUGCUGUCACUUAUAGAUGGAUCCGCGCCGCAUUAGCUAGUUGGUAAGGUAACGGCUUACCAAGGCAACGAUGCGUAGCCGACCUGAGAGGGUGAUCGGCCACACUGGAACUGAGACACGGUCCAGACUUCUAAGGGAGGCAGCAGUAGGGAAUCUUCCGCAAUGGGCGAAAGCCUGACGGAGCAACGCAGCGUGAGUGAUGAAGGUCUUCGGAUCGUAAAACUCUGUUAUGAGGGAAGAACAAAUGUGUAAGUAACUAUGCACGUCUUGACGGUACCUAAUCAGAAAGCCACGGCUAACUACGUG
rnacentral:rRNA from 1 species